UGGGGAAUAUUGCACAAUGGGCGAAAGCCUGAUGCAGCGACGCCGCGUGGGGGAUGACGGUCUUCGGAUUGUAAACUCCUUUCAGUAGGGACGAAGCGAAAGUGACGGUACCUGCAGAAGAAGCACCGGCCAACUACGUGCCAGCAGCCGCGGUAGUACGUAGGGUGCAAGCGUUGUCCGGAAUUACUGGGGGUAAAGAGCUCGUAGGCGGUUUGUCACGUCGUCUGGGGAAUCCUCCAGCUCAACUGGGGGCGUGCAGGCGAUUCGGGCAGACUUAAGUACUACAGGAGAGACUGGAAUUCCUGGUGUAGCGGUGAAAUGCGCAGAUGUCAGGAGGAACACCGGUGGCGAAGGCGGGUCUCUGGGUAGUAACUGACGCUGAGGAGCGAAAGGAUGGGGAGCAAACAGG
rnacentral:rRNA from 1 species